rnacentral:misc_RNA from 1 species
GAGUUUGUAACACCCGAAGUCGGUGAGGUAACCUUUUAGGAGCCAGCCGCCGAAGGUGGGACAGAUGAUUGGGGUGAAGUCGUAACAAGGUAGCCGUAUCGGAAGGUGCGGCUGGAUCACCUCCUUUCUAAGGAUAUUAUACGGAAUAUAAGACCUUGGGUCUUAUAAACAGAACGUUCCCUGUCUUGUUUAGUUUUGAAGGAACUUUGUUCCUUGAAUAAGUUAAGAUGGGCCUGUAGCUCAGCUGGUUAGAGCGCACGCCUGAUAAGCGUGAGGUCGGUGGUUCGAGUCCACUCAGGCCCACCAUCUUAUAUAACGGGGCCUUAGCUCAGCUGGGAGAGCGC